rnacentral:rRNA from 1 species
GACAGCCUUCUGAAGGGAAGAUUAAUACAAGAUGGCAUCAUGAGUCCGCAUGUUCACAUGAUUAAAGGUAUUCCGGUAGACGAUGGGGAUGCGUUCCAUUAGAUAGUAGGCGGGGUAACGGCCCACCUAGUCUUCGAUGGAUAGGGGUUCUGAGAGGAAGGUCCCCCACAUUGGAACUGAGACACGGUCCAAACUCCUACGGGAGGCAGCAGUGAGGAAUAUUGGUCAAUGGGCGAGAGCCUGAACCAGCCAAGUAGCGUGAAGGAUGACUGCCCUAUGGGUUGUAAACUUCUUUUAUAAAGGAAUAAAGUCGGGUAUGCAUACCCGUUUGCAUGUACUUUAUGAAUAAGGAUCGGCUAACUCCGUGCCAGCAGCCGCGGUAAUACGGAGGAUCCGAGCGUUAUCCGGAUUUAUUGGGUUUAAAGGGAGCGUAGAUGGAUGUUUAAGUCAGUUGUGAAAGUUUGCGGCUCAACCGUAAAAUUGCAGUUGAUACUGGAUAUCUUGAGUGCAGUUGAGGCAGGCGGAAUUCGUGGUGUAGCGGUGAAAUGCUUAGAUAUCACGAAGAACUCCGAUUGCGAAGGCAGCCUGCUAAGCUGCAACUGACAUUGAGGCUCGAAAGUGUGGGUAUCAAACAGGAUUAGAUACCCUGGUAGUCCACACGGUAAACGAUGAAUACUCGCUGUUUGCGAUAUACAGCAAGCGGCCAAGCGAAAGCGUUAAGUAUUCCACCUGGGGAGUA